rnacentral:rRNA from 1 species
UACGUAGGGUGCGAGCGUUGUCCGGAAUUACUGGGCGUAAAGAGCUCGUAGGUGGUUUGUCGCGUUGUUCGUGAAAACUCACAGCUCAACUGUGGGCGUGCGGGCGAUACGGGCAGACUGGAGUACUGCAGGGGAGACUGGAAUUCCUGGUGUAGCGGUGAAAUGCGCAGAUAUCAGGAGGAACACCGGUGGCGAAGGCGGGACUCUGGGCCGAUACUGACGCUGAGGAGCGAAAGCGUGGGGAGCAAACAGG